GGAGAAUCCCUUCGGUUUCCCGCGUUUUGACCGUUGUUUACUUUCUUCGGCUCCUGGUGUUCCUGCAACCUUCGCAAGUGCACCUCCAUUUGUCGUGAAUCCCCGUUUCUGAGCGUUGAUCUUCCCUUCUUGGUGUCUUGUUGAUUUUUUUCACGAGCCACAAAGCAGGCCAUGGUUUCAUCGAACAGCCGGGAGUGGAGCGGGAUGCUGAAGGAUAGCGGCGCUCACUUCAGUGAGCCCAGCGUGAACCCCACCAUUGGCGUUCUGGGCAGCACUCUGAAUAAGCUGCUUCAGUUGUGACUUGUAGCACAAAGUUUCUGUCACCCAGUUCAUCGUCAUCUCGGAACCGAAGGCAUUGGUCCUGCUUGCUAGUCACCACUUGAAUAAAAGUUGGAAUGGUGCAGUGUG